rnacentral:rRNA from 1 species
UACAGAGGUCCCAAGCGUUGUUCGGAUUCACUGGGCGUAAAGGGUGCGUAGGCGGUCGUGUAAGUCUGACGUGAAAUCCCGCAGCUCAACUGCGGAACUGCGUCGGAUACUAUUCGGCUUGAGGAAUGGAGGGGAGACUGGAAUUCUCGGUGUAGCAGUGAAAUGCGUAGAUAUCGAGAGGAACACCAGUGGCGAAGGCGAGUCUCUGGACAUUUCCUGACGCUGAGGCACGAAAGCCAGGGGAGCAAACGGG